UGCAGUCGAGGGGUAGGCUCUUUCGGGAGUACACGACCGGCGCACGGGUGCGUAACGCGUAUGCAAUCUACCUUUAACUGGAGAAUAGCCCGAGGAAACUCGGAUUAAUACUCCAUAAUAUCCAAAAUCCGCAUGUUUUUUGGAUUAAAGCUCCGGCGGUUAAAGAUGAGCAUGCGUGACAUUAGAUAGUUGGUGAGGUAACGGCUCACCAAGUCAGCGAUGUCUAGGGGGUCUGAGAGGAUGAUCCCCCACACUGGUACUGAGACACGGACCAGACUCCUACGGGAGGCAGCAGUGAGGAAUAUUGGUCAAUGGGCGAAAGCCUGAACCAGCCAUCCCGCGUGAAGGAUGACAGCCCUAUGGGUUGUAAACUUCUUUUCCAUAGGAAGAACCACCUCUACGUGUAGAGGUCUGACUGUACUAUGGGAAUAAGCAUCGGCUAACUCCGUGCCCAGCAGCCGCGGUAAUACG
rnacentral:rRNA from 1 species